AUUGAACGCUGGCGGCACGCCUAACACAUGCAAGUCGAGCGGCAGCGAGACUAGUAGCAAUACUAGUUGUCGGCGAGCGGCGGACGGGUGAGUAACACGUAGGAAUCUGCCCUUAAGCGGGGGAUAACCAAGGGAAACCUUGGCUAAUACCGCAUAAUCUCGAGAGAGCAAAGCUGCCCGCAAGGGUGGCACUUGAGGAGGAGCCUGCGUCCGAUUAGCUAGUUGGUGGGGUAAUGGCCUACCAAGGCGAUGAUCGGUAACUGGUCUGAGAGGACGACCAGUCACACUGGGACUGAGACACGGCCCAGACUCCUACGGGAGGCAGCAGUGGGGAAUAUUGGACAAUGGGGGCAACCCUGAUCCAGCGAUGCCGCGUGAGUGAAGAAGGCCUUCGGGUCGUAAAGCUCUUUAGGUUGGGAAGAAGGGUAUUGGCUGAAUAAUCCAGUACUUUGACGGUACCGACAGAAUAAGCACCGGCAGACUCUGUGCCAGCAGCCGCAGUAAGAC
rnacentral:rRNA from 1 species